rnacentral:rRNA from 1 species
UAGGGAAUCUUCGGCAAUGGGGGCAACCCUGACCGAGCAACGCCGCGUGAGUGAAGAAGGUUUUCGGAUCGUAAAGCUCUGUUGUAAGAGAAGAACGUGUGUGAGAGUGGAAAGUUCACACAGUGACGGUAACUUACCAGAAAGGGACGGCUAACUACGUGCCAGCAGCCGCGGUAAUACGUAGGUCCCGAGCGUUGUCCGGAUUUAUUGGGCGUAAAGCGAGCGCAGGCGGUUUAAUAAGUCUGAAGUUAAAGGCAGUGGCUUAACCAUUGUGCGCUUUGGAAACUGUUAAACUUGAGUGCAGAAGGGGAGAGUGGAAUUCCAUGUGUAGCGGUGAAAUGCGUAGAUAUAUGGAGGAACACCGGUGGCGAAAGCGGCUCUCUGGUCUGUAACUGACGCUGAGGCUCGAAAGCGUGGGGAGCAAACAGGA